rnacentral:lncRNA from 1 species
UAUAUAUAUAUAUAUAUAUAUAUAUAUGCACCUUUGUUCUACAGGUGUCCAUGUUUGCUUUCAGGCUUUUAGUUAACCCUUGUUUCCUACGUUCCUUUUAUGAGCCCUAAGAUUCUCUGGUGGUUGAAAUGAAAAAAAAAAAACAUGGGAUGGACACCAGGGGGAAAUGUUCUGUGUAUCGUGUAAGAUACACAAAACAGACAAAAAAAGUUAAUAACUACAGUUAAAAGAAAAAGAGAAAGUAAAAAAUUUAAACAUUUUGGUAAUGCAUGGCUCUCUAAUUAGAAACGAUAUUUAAAAGAAACUCAUUAAUUUUAAGAAUUCCUGUAUGUGUCUGACACAGUUCAUUUUAAAUUACGUGUAUCAGGAGGUGUAAAAAAAGCAAAAUGGAAUUAGAUUGGGAAUAUUUAAUUAAGAAUAGCAUGAGAAAUUCAUAUUAAUCAUAAAAAGUAAUGCCAUAUAUGUGUCGGCAGUAAUUAUGGACUUUUCAUAUUUGCAACCACUGCUGUACUACUUCGACGACGCCGUGGUGAUCUCAUUCUUGCUCACAACGUCAUAAGCGGAAAGUGUAACCUCUCGAAAGAGCUGUUCUUCACUCCUGCUCCAGAGCGUCGGCUGCUGGGUCACUUGGAAAAGCUCUAUCUGCGACGAUUUCAUUUCAAUCGAAGGAGAGGGGCUUUCUCCGUCCGGGUUGCGGAUCCGUGGAAUAAGCUGCCGGACGAGAUAGUGAAGAUGCCGACGACCGCUCGGUUCAAAGUCUCCCUUGACCACAAGUGGCCUGAACUCUUUCUAUAACCACCUUCCCCAUACAUAACUCCCUGUCCCCCUACAUGGCCUCACAACAUCAUAAGCGGAAAGUGUAACCUCUCGAAAGAGCUGUUCUUCACUCCUGCUCCAGAGCGUUGGCUGCGGGGUCACUCCGAAAAUCUCUAUCUGCGACGAUUUCAUUUCAAUCGAAGGAGAGGGGCUUUCUCCGUCCGGGUUGCGGAUCCGUGGAAUAAGCUGCCGGACGAGAUAGUGAAGAUGCCGACGACCGCUCGGUUCAGUCUCCCUUGACCACAAGUAGCCUGAACUCUUUGCAUGAACACCCUCCCUGUACAUAACUCCAUGUCCCCCUACAUGGCCUUGCUGUUUGCUUUUUGAGCCAAAAAAUUAACUAACUAACUAAGUAACUAACUAACUAACAUUAACAGAAAAUAUUUUAUUUUCGUUUCGGUAUUUUAAGGAAACAGUUGUGUUUCUGUAUAUUCCUCACUUCUUCGAAUUUAUGACGUUAUUCUCCACAUUUACCAAAUGUUACUUAGUUGUUAGUGGUUUUGGAUCCUAGAUAUAAUUGAUUGUCACAGUGGAAGUGAUCUGGUUUAUGAACUAAGUGGUCGAGGGUUCAAGUCGCAGUGCAGGCAUUCUAUAUAUUGCUCAUGGCCUUUUCUUCUACUGCUUAAGAUGCUCAAUUCGCAGCCGCAUGUUUCCGGGUUUGACCUCGCUGGGCGUAACCCUGGGUAAGCUUUGCCUAUUACAUCCUCGGACUGACCAAUGUCUUAGGAGUGAGAUUUUGUGGACAGUAUUUAUAACGAGGACCGAUGUGUGUGUGUAUGUAUGUGUAUGUAUAUAUAUAUAUACAUAUAUAUACACAUACACACACGCACGCACACGCACACACAUGGAGUGUUAAACAAUUUCGCUAUGCAAAUUAGGAACUCCUUCGCAGAGUAACUGCUGCAUUUGUUGAGUAUAUAAACAGUUUGGCUGCUGGUUUCUCUGGUGAUUGUCAGAAUGAUGUUGACGCCUCUGAUGAGAAACCAAUAAGUUUCGAAAAUAGGUUAAGGAUGUUCGUAUACAUACAUAUAUAUAUAUAUAUAUAUAUAUAUAUAUAUAUAUAUAUAUACAUACAAACACAUAUAUAUACACACACAUAUACAUAUACAUAUAUGUAUAUGUGCUGAUGAAGGGAAAUGAUCCGGAAAUCGUGAUACACAGAUAUUGUUUUGAGCUGAGUGGGGGUGCUAGAUUCCCUUGUUCGAAAAUAUUAUGUCGUAUAGCCAGCUGGAGACGAUGUCUCCAGGGGCUAAAUUACAGCAACAUUCGUCCUAAACCAGGGCUGCCAUGUUAUGUUGGCAAACAAUCUUUACUACAUGAACUGACAAAGUUUCUAUGAUUGUAUAAAAAUAUACGUAAAUGGACUCUAAUUCAUUAUAUUGAUUACUCAGCACUUUGACAUAUGAAACUUGUUCCCUCUCUUUCUAUUAAUACAUUUGUUUGUAUGUGUCUGUGCGUGCGUGUGCGGACAAGCACACAAACACACACACUCGCUUUUUGUCUCUCUCUCUCUCUCUCUCGCACACACACAUCUACACUCGCGCUCAUGCAUAUACAGGCUUGGUAGAAUAAACAGCAGAAACUGAAGUAAAUGUGUAAGGUUAUGAACUGUAUAGUUUGGAUUCGGAUUUUGAUACCUGACGAUUUGAGAAUGACAUGCAUUGGACUUACCGAAGUUUGUUCAAUGCAAUGCAAUGCAGUGAAACACGUGAAACUCUCGUCCCUUGAAUUGCUUAAGUAACUAAGCAGCCGAAUAAUACAUAAAUACACACACACACACACACAAAUGAGUAGAUAGAUGAAGGAGUGUAUGUACGUAUGUGGUUCUGCUGGAGGUGACAGUCUCAUGGGAAGAUCGCCUGGAAGAAGCUUUUGAUAGAAAGCUCUCUAGGUACGCGGUUCUUGUCAGUGACUGCCAGCGGGCUGGUUGGAGAGCGAGGUGUCUCCCAGUGGAGGUUGGAUGCAGGGAGAGCAAUGGGGUAGCUAACUGAGGUCCGAUGAUGCCAGGCACAUCACUGAAGAUGUGUCCAGAUGCAUCAGUCAUUGAUGUAUGUACACAACAAAUAUAUAUAUACAUGUAUAUAUA